rnacentral:rRNA from 1 species
UUGGAGGGCAAGUCUGGUGCCAGCAGCCGCGGUAAUUCCAGCUCCAAUAGCGUAUAUUAAAGUUGUUGCAGUUAAAAAGCUCGUAGUUGAAUUUCGGGAUCGACGGGUCGGUCGCGCCUCCGGUGUGUACUGGCCCUGUCGGUUUCUCCCUUCUGACGAACCACGAUGUCAUUAAUUUGAUGUCGUGGGAAAUCAGGACUGUUACUUUGAAAAAAUUAGAGUGUUUAAAGCAGGCAUUCGCUUGAAUACAUUAGCAUGGAAUAAUGAAAUAGGACGUUUGAUCUUAUUUUGUUGGUUUCUAAGAUCGACGUAAUGAUUAAUAGGGAUAGUUGGGGGCAUUAGUAUUCAAUUGUCAGAGGUGAAAUUCUUGGAUUUAUUGAAGACUAACUACUGCGAAAGCAUUUGCCAAGGAUGUUUUCAUUAAUCAAGAACGAAAGUUAGGGGAUCGAAGACGAUCAGAUACCGUCGUAGUCUUAACCAUAAACUAUGCCGACUAGGGAUCGGAUGAUGUUAAUUUUUUAAUGACUCAUUCGGCGCCUUACGGGAAAC